UUAUCUGUUGUUCAAUGGUAGAAUGCUCGUUUCCCAAUCGAGUGACCCGGGUUCCAUUUCGGCAGAUGCA